rnacentral:rRNA from 1 species
GCGAGCGUUAAUCGGAAUUACUGGGCGUAAAGCGUACGCAGGCGGUCUGUUAAGUCAGAUGUGAAAUCCCCGGGCUUAACCUGGGAACUGCAUUUGAAACUGGCAGGCUAGAGUCUCGUAGAGGGGGGUAGAAUUCCAGGUGUAGCGGUGAAAUGCGUAGAGAUCUGGAGGAAUACCGGUGGCGAAGGCGGCCCCCUGGACGAAGACUGACGCUCAGGUACGAAAGCGUGGGGAGCAGACAGGAUUAGAUACCCUGGUAGUCCACGCUGUAAACGAUGUCGAUUUGAAGGUUGUGGCCUUGAGCCGUGGCUUUCGGAGCUAACGCGUUAAAUCGACCGCCUGGGGAGUACGGCCGCAAGGUUAAAACUCAAAUGAAUUGACGGGGGCCCGCACAAGCGGUGGAGCAUGUGGUUUAAUUCGAUGCAACGCGAAGAACCUUACCUACUCUUGACAUCCAGAGAACUUAGCAGAGAUGCUUUGGUGCCUUCGGGAACUCUGAGACAGGUGCUGCAUGGCUGUCGUCAGCUCGUGUUGUGAAAUGUUGGGUUAAGUCCCGCAACGAGCGCAACCCUUAUCCUUUGUUGCCAGCGAUUUGGUCGGGAACUCAAAGGAGACUGCCGGUGAUAAACCGGAGGAAGGUGGGGAUGACGUCAAGUCAUCAUGGCCCUUACGAGUAGGGCUACACACGUGCUACAAUGGCGCAUACAAAGAGAAGCGAUCUCGCGAGAGUCAGCGGACCUCAUAAAGUGCGUCGUAGUCCGGAUUGGAGUCUGCAACUCGACUCCAUGAAGUCGGAAUCGCUAGUAAUCGUGGAUCAGAAUGCCACGGUGAAUACGUUCCCGGGCCUUGUACACACCGCCCGUCACACCAUGGGAGUGGGUUGCAAAAGAAGUAGGUAGC